rnacentral:tRNA from 1 species
GUGGGUAUAGCUCAGUGGUAAAACGCGUGCUUAGCAUGCAUGGGGUCCUGGGUCCAAUCCCCAGUGCCUCCA